AGCACCUUUUGAGAUUCUUCGGAUGAUCGAUUGGUGACUGAGUGGCGGACGGGUGAGUAACGCGUGGGUAACCUGCCCUGUACAGGGGGAUAACAGCUGGAAACGGCUGCUAAUACCGCAUAAGCGCACGAGGAGACAUCUCCUUGUGUGAAAAACUCCGGUGGUACAGGAUGGGCCCGCGUCUGAUUAGCUGGUUGGCAGGAUAACGGCCUACCAAGGCAACGAUCAGUAGCCGGUCUGAGAGGAUGAACGGCCACAUUGGAACUGAGACACGGUCCAAACUCCUACGGGAGGCAGCAGUGGGGAAUAUUGCACAAUGGGGGAAACCCUGAUGCAGCAACGCCGCGUGAGUGAAGAAGUAUUUCGGUAUGUAAAGCUCUAUCAGCAGGGAAGAUAAUGACGGUACCUGACUAAGAAGCUCCGGCUAAAUACGUGCCAGCAGCCGCGGUAAUACGUAUGGAGCAAGCGUUAUCCGGAUUUACUGGGUGUAAAGGGUGCGUAGGUGGCAGUGCAAGUCAGAUGUGAAAGGCCNGGGGCUCAACCCCGGAGCUGCAUUUGAAACUGCUCGGCUAGAGUACAGGAGAGGCAGGCGGAAUUCCUAGUGUAGCGGUGAAAUGCGUAGAUAUUAGGAGGAACACCAGUGGCGAAGGCGGCCUGCUGGACUGUUA
rnacentral:rRNA from 1 species